rnacentral:tRNA from 1 species
GGAGGCGUCGCAUAGCGGUCUAGUGCGCACGCUUGGAAAGCGUGUGUGGGGCAACCCACCGAGAGUUCGAAUCUCUCCGCCUCCG